UGAACGCCAUCGGUAUGCUUAACACAUGCAAGUYGAACGGCAACGGGGGGCUUAACUCCCCUGACGGCGAGUGGCGGACGGGUGAGUAACACGUAGGAAUCUACCUUAUUAGUGGGGGAUAACCCGAGGAAACUCGGGCUAAUACCGCAUAAUCUCUAUCAAAGUAAAGCGGGGGAUCUUCGGACCUCGUGCUAUGAGAUGAGCCUGCGUCGGAUUAGCUAGUUGGUGAGGGUAAUGGCCUACCAAGGCGACGAUCCGUAGCUGGUCUGAGAGGACGAUCAGCCACACUGGGACUGAGACACGGCCCAGACUCCUACGGGAGGCAGCAGUGGGGAAUAUUGGACAAUGGGGGAAACC
rnacentral:rRNA from 1 species